UACUCAUGGUGAGGACACAUACUCAACAACUCUUUAAACCUCUCCCAAGCUUGAUACAAAGUCUCACUAUUCUUUUGUGCAAAGGUGAAGAUCUGUCUCUUCAAAGCA